AAUUAUAUAUACCAAUCUUCAAGUGCAAAAGUGCUCUUACUAAGUAAAUAUUUAAUUUAAACCUCAUAGGACUGCUCUGUCAAAUCUUCCAAUGGAAUCUCAUUUGCAGGUACUUAGCUAGGAUACAAAUGAUCAGUCUUCAUGCUCCAGGUUACAGGUCAAUCACCAGCCAAGGUUAGGGAGGAAUUUUCCCCAGGUAACUAAUGCUGGAUUGGUAACAUGCAUCAUGGGUUGCAUUGCUUAUGUUUUUUUUUUUUAAUUUUUAAUUUUUUGGUCACCUCUGAACCAUGGGGUAUAAGCCAGGGUCUCAAUCUUUUUCUUGCUGAGACCCCCGCCCAUCAUGCUAUAAAAACACCAGGGCCCAGUGGGGGAAGAGGGAGAGUCUGGGGGGUGGGGAGCCCUUGAGCAUAGGCAUAGUUUUAUCUCUAUUUGCGGGCAAGGGCUGAUGGGGCUCAAGACAGCACUACAGCACCUCCCUGCCAGACUCCUCUGCCCCCACUCAGGCAUGGCAGAGGUGUCCUGCAAACACCUGGUGUAAAUCUAAGUGAUGUUCCCUACAUGAGGUAGCACUUACAAGAGGCCCUGCCUGUUACUGUGUCUUGCAACAACUGGGAUAAAAUUCCACCAACUGAGGGGUGGAGGUGGUCCAGAGGCAGACCCACUACUACAUGGUUCGUCAAGUCUGUUCUGAUGUUGGACUCUCGGGCUGUCAAGUUCUUGUGGCUGCACAGGAACAGACCAAGUGGCGAACGAUCACUACGGGUGACUGUUCGGCUAAGCGUUGAAGAAGAAGAUUUUGCUAUCUAGCCAGCCCGGGGCGCAAAGUUAGACUGGCAUAUCAGGUCACCUCCCCUCCCCAGAGGAGUUAUGACUCCUGCACAGAAUAUCAUGAUCAGGAGCUUCUGAGGAAAGAAUAAGGAAAAGGAGGGAGCUAGUUGCUGGUUCAGGGUGUAAGGCUCACAACAGACCUGGACUGGGGGUGGGGAAACAGUGGAAGGAUCCAGAGUUCCACCCCACCCUCCCAGAUAGUGAAGUGGGUCCUCAGCUCCCUGGGGAAAGAAGCGGUGCUCCUACAUAGCUCCUUUUCCUCCCACUCUGAAUCAGGGGAUUAUGUUACUCAUGGGUAAAUCCUGCAAAUCGCAGACUCCAGAAAGGCAAAAGCAAGUAAUAUUGUUCAUGAACAAGUGGGGUAAAAAUCAGGGGUUAAACCGCUCCUCCUUUGCCUUCUCCCGCUGAGGGAGCGUUUGCUGGGCUCUUCUCCUCACUGCUUACAGUGCUCUGUGUCAUGAUUACUGUCCCUUCCCCACCCUACAGCAAGUCUGGGCAUGCAGAGAUGCCUGUGCCUGCUGUGCAGUCCUGCUUUAGGCUCAGCCUAUUGGUAAUUGGGCCUGUCUGGCAUUCAGCCUAAGGACCCUUCCUCUGCUGGAGAAGGAGCUUAGGUUUUAGGUAGCAGUAGAAUGGGAAUUGUGCCUUGUGAUCCUAACCUCUUGCCCUGUCAGGGAAAGGGCUCUGACUCUGAAAGGCAGAAAAGAGUUUCUCUCUCCGUCCCUCCCUUGUGCCACAGGCUGAUUCCACAUUAAAGUCUUAGGAGCACUUCAGGCUGUUUGUGACCAGAACAGAUACACAUGAGGAUUCCACUCCCUGUGAAACUUACAGGGAGGUGAAGAGCAGUUGGGGGAAGACUUGAAGAGAUUACUAGCUGAGACUGCAGAGGCGUCAGCUCUUACUGUGGAAGCCAACAUAGCUAUCCAUUGGUUGCUUCCAACACCAAGAGUAUGCCAGAUGGGGCUGUUACCCUGGCAGAGGGAAAAUCUGGAGUAGAAGCUUCCAAAGAAACCUAGAUAAUUUUGUUUGUUCGGAGGAAAAAUUCAUCAGCCUGACAAC